CGGAAAUUCUCCAAGCAGCAGGGUUGUGUGGGACCCAGAAGAGAUGUCACGGCUUCCACGGGCCCCGGGAGGUAUCCUGGAAGGUUCUGUGCGGCCCCUACAUUUUGUUUCUCCUUCAUCCCGUGUUCUGUGGGAUUUGCGACUCACCUCUCUAGGAAAUGUCUAGCCAGUCCUUCUCUGAAGGGACCCCCAACCCCCUCUGGCUGAAUCUUCGUUCCAAGUGGGGUCUCAGGGUCUUUCCCCAACGCUCCUCUUCAGCAGAAUCAGCUGGAUCAAGAGUGUCUUCCCCGAUGCAACUGUUAACCAGCGAUAAACCUAGAAGCGCUAAUGUCUGGUUAGAGAGCAGCAGCUGACCAAGUCCUUUCUGGCAUCCGUGGGAGAACAGAGAAGUCCUGAGGCCUAGAGAACCAGGAGGCAGCAGCAGCAGGAGG
rnacentral:lncRNA from 1 species